rfam:Lysinibacillus sp. F5 Contig1, whole genome shotgun sequence.
UCUAACUUAAGCAACGCAAACCCUACCAUCUUUUGCGUCCUUGCAGCCCCAAAGCAUGCGCCAGUGUGAAUAAGUAUCUACAAAAACAA